UACAGAGGUCUCAAGCGUUGUUCGGAUUCAUUGGGCGUAAAGGGUGCGUAGGCGGUCUUGUAAGUCGGAUGUGAAAUCCCUCGGCUUAACCGAGGACGUGCAUCCGAAACUGUGAGACUCGAGUAUGGAAGAGGGUCGCAGAAUUCCCGGUGUAGCGGUGAAAUGCGCAGAUAUCGGGAGGAACACCAGCGGCGAAGGCGGCACUCUGGGCUGGAACUGACGCUCAGGAGCGAAGGCCAGGGGAGCAAACGGG
rnacentral:rRNA from 1 species